rnacentral:rRNA from 1 species
GACGAACGCUGGCGGCGUGCUUAACACAUGCAAGUCGAACGGAAAGGCCCGGCUUUUGUGGGGUGCUCGAGUGGCGAACGGGGGAGUAACACGUGAGUGACAUGUCCUUGACUUUGGGAUAACUUCAGGAAACUGGGGCUAAUAUCGGAGAGGAGCUCCAGCUGCAUGGGGGGGGUUGGAAAGUGUCGGCGGUUGGGGCUGGACUCGCGGCUUAUCAGCUUGAUUGUGGGGUAGUGGCGUACGAAGGCUUUGACGGGUAGCCGGCAUGGGAGGGUGACCGGGCACCUUGGGACUGCGAUACGGCCCAGACUCCUAUGGGAGGCAGCAGUGGGGAAUAUUGCACAAUGGGCGGAAGCCUGAUGCAGCAACGCCGCGUGCGGGAUGACGGCCUUCGGGUUGUAAACCGCUUUCGCCUGUGACGAAGCGUGAGUGACGGUAAUGGGUAAAGAAGCAACGGCUAACUACGUG